rnacentral:rRNA from 1 species
UAUUUACAGGCUUAACACAUGCAAGUCGAGGGGCAGCAUGGUCUUAUCUUGCUAAGGCCGAUGGCGACCGGCGCACGGGUGAGUAACACGUAUCCAACCUGCCGUCUACUCUUGGACAGCCUUCUGAAAGGAAGAUUAAUACAAGAUGGCAUCAUGAGUCCGCAUGUUCACAUGAUUAAAGGUAUUCCGGUAGACGAUGGGGAUGCGUUCCAUUAGAUAGUAGGCGGGGUAACGGCCCACCUAGUCUUCGAUGGAUAGGGGUUCUGAGAGGAAGGUCCCCCACAUUGGAACUGAGACACGGUCCAAACUCCUACGGGAGGCAGCAGUGAGGAAUAUUGGUCAAUGGGCGAGAGCCUGAACCAGCCAAGUAGCGUGAAGGAUGACUGCCCUAUGGGUUGUAAACUUCUUUUAUAAAGGAAUAAAGUCGGGUAUGGAUACCCGUUUGCAUGUACUUUAUGAAUAAGGAUCAGCUAACUCCGUGCCAGCAGCCGCGGUAAUACGGAGGAUCCGAGCGUUAUCCGGAUUUAUUGGGUUUAAAGGGAGCGUAGAUGGAUGUUUAAGUCAGUUGUGAAAGUUUGCGGCUCAACCGUAAAAUUGCAGUUGAUACUGGAUAUCUUGAGUGCAGUUGAGGCAGGCGGAAUUCGUGGUGUAGCGGUGAAAUGCUUAGAUAUCACGAAGAACUCCGAUUGCGAAGGCAGCCUGCUAAGCUGCAACUGACAUUGAGGCUCGAAAGUGUGGGUAUCAAACAGGAUUAGAUACCCUGGUAGUCCACACGGUAAACGAUGAAUACUCGCUGUUUGCGAUAUACUGCAAGCGGCCAAGCGAAAGCGUUAAGUAUUCCACCUGGGGAGUACGCCGGCAACGGUGAAACUCAAAGGAAUUGACGGGGGCCCGCACAAGCGGAGGAACAUGUGGUUUAAUUCGAUGAUACGCGAGGAACCUUACCCGGGCUUAAAUUGCAGAUGAAUUACGGUGAAAGCCGUAAGCCGCAAGGCAUCUGUGAAGGUGCUGCAUGGUUGUCGUCAGCUCGUGCCGUGAGGUGUCGGCUUAAGUGCCAUAACGAGCGCAACCCUUGUUGUCAGUUACUAACAGGUUCCGCUGAGGACUCUGACAAGACUGCCAUCGUAAGAUGUGAGGAAGGUGGGGAUGACGUCAAAUCAGCACGGCCCUUACGUCCGGGGCUACACACGUGUUACAAUGGGGGGUACAGAGGGCCGCUACCACGCGAGUGGAUGCCAAUCCCCAAAACCUCUCUCAGUUCGGACUGGAGUCUGCAACCCGACUCCACGAAGCUGGAUUCGCUAGUAAUCGCGCAUCAGCCACGGCGCGGUGAAUACGUUCCCGGGCCUUGUACACACCGCCCGUCAAGCCAUGGGAGCCGGGGGUACCUGAAGUGCGUAACCGCGAGGAGCGCCCUAGGGUAAAACUGGUGACUGG